CCUACGGGUGGCAGCAGUCGGGAAUAUUUGUCAAUGGGCGCAAGCCUGACCCAGCGACGCCGCGUGAGGGAUGAAGGCCUUCGGGUCGUAAACCUCUGUCGGGAGGGAAGAAUGGCGGUGAAGCAAAUAGUUUCGCUGUCUGACGGUACCUCCAAAGGAAGCGCCGGCUAACUCCGUGCCAGCAGCCGCGGUAAUACGGAGGGCGCAACUGUGGUUCGGAAUCACUUGGCGUAAAGCGCGUGUCGGAUGCGAAAUCCCGAGGCUCAACCUCGGAACUGCAGUCGAAACUGUCCGGCUCGAGUCCCGGAGAGGAUGGCAGAAUUCCCGGUGUAGGGGUGAAAUCCGUAGAUAUCGGGAGGAAUACCAGUGGCGAAGGCGGCCAUCUGGACGGUGACUGACGCUGAGACGCGAAAGCGUGGGGAGCAAACAGGAUUAGAUACCCCGGUAGUC
rnacentral:rRNA from 1 species